rnacentral:tRNA from 1 species
UCCACUGGCCUUAGGAGCCACCACCCU